rnacentral:misc_RNA from 1 species
UAAUAAGUGUUUUAUGGCACUUUUUAAAUCCAUAUCCACCUUGUGUGCAAUGUCAGUCGACCUUCUUCAUGGAGAUCGACCAAACAUCAACCUUUAUCUUUUAACUCUUUGUCUGAAAAAUAUUAUGAAUAAACAAUUCAAAAUA